rnacentral:tRNA from 1 species
GGGCAUGUGCUUCGUGCGUUUCGCUCUGCAAAGGCGAGUUGUGGUUUAUAUACCUGUGCCUU